rnacentral:rRNA from 1 species
UACGGGGGGAGCAAGCGUUGUUCGGAUUUACUGGGCGUAAAGGGCGCGUAGGCGGUGCGGUAAGUCACUUGUGAAAUCUCUGAGCUUAACUCAGAACGGCCAAGUGAUACUGCAGUACUAGAGUGCAGAAGGGGCAAUCAGAAUUCUUGGUGUAGCGGUGAAAUGCGUAGAUAUCAAGAGGAAUACCUGAGGUGAAGACGGGUUGCUAGGCUGACACUGACGCUGAGGCGCGAAAGCCAGGGGAGCAAACGGG